GACGAACCGUCCAAACGUUAUUCGGAAUCACUGGGCUUACAGAGUUCGUAGGCGGUCUGGAAAGUUGGGUGUGAAAUCCCUCGGCUCAACCGAGGAACUGCGCUCAAAACUACCCGACUCGAGGGAGAUAGAGGAAAGCGGAACUGAUGGUGGAGCGGUGAAAUGCGUUGAUAUCAUCAGGAACACCGGUGGCGAAGGCGGCGACCUGGGUCGACACUGACGCUGAGGCGCGAAAGCGUGGGGAGCAAACAGG
rnacentral:rRNA from 1 species